rnacentral:rRNA from 1 species
UACGUAGGGCGCAAGCGUUAUCCGGAAUUAUUGGGCGUAAAGAGCUCGUAGGCGGUCUGUCGCGUCUGCUGUGAAAACCCGAGGCUCAACCUCGGGCCUGCAGUGGGUACGGGCAGGCUAGAGUGCGGUAGGGGGAGAAUGGAACUCCUGGUGUAGCGGUGGAAUGCGCAGAUAUCAGGAAGAACACCGAUGGCGAAGGCAGUUCUCUGGGCCGUAACUGACGCUGAGGAGCGAAAGCGUGGGGAGCGAACAGG